rnacentral:pre_miRNA from 13 species
GGCACCCCGGCCGACCUGCUGCCUGCCACCCACCCGUAGAUCCGAACUUGCGGGGCGACGGCCGCACACAAGCUCGCGUCUGUGGGUCUGUGUCGGAUCGGCAACGACUCCCGGCCCCGG